UCCUCCCUCUUUCUUCUUUCCUAAUACAUGCAAGUCGAACGCAGUGGGGACGGGUGAGUAACACGUGGGUAACCUCCCAUCAGAGGGGAUAACACUUGGAAACAGGUGCUAAACCGAUACUGAUGGAUGGACCCGCGGUGCCUUCGCUAGUUGGUGAGGUAACGGCUCACCAAGGCCACGAUGCAUAGCCGACCUGAGAGGGUGAUCGGCCACACUGGGACUGAGACACGGCCCAGACUCCUACGGGAGGCAGCAGUAGGGAAUCUUCGGCAAUGGACGAAAGUCUGACCGAGCAACGCCGCGUGAGUGAAGAAGGUUUUCGGAUCGUAAAACUCUGUUGUUAGAGAAGCGGUAUCUAACCAGAAAGCCACGGCUAACUACGUGAAAGAAGCAGAGGGAAUAC
rnacentral:rRNA from 1 species